UACGUAGGGUGCAAGCGUUGUCCGGAAUUAUUGGGCGUAAAGAGCUCGUAGGCGGUUCGUCGCGUCGGCUGUGAAAUCCCGAGGCUCAACCUCGGGUCUGCAGUCGAUACGGGCGGACUGGAGUUCGGCAGGGGAGACUGGAAUUCCUGGUGUAGCGGUGAAAUGCGUAGAUAUUGGGAGGAACACCAGUGGCGAAGGCGGCUCACUGGACCGGUACUGACGCUGAUGCGCGAAAGCUAGGGGAGCAAACAGG
rnacentral:rRNA from 1 species